rnacentral:rRNA from 1 species
UACGAAGGGGGCUAGCGUUGUCCGGAAUUACUGGGCGUAAAGGGCGAGUAGGCGGCCUUCUAAGUCAGACGUGAAAUCCCCCGGCUUAACCUGGGAACUGCGUCUGAUACUGGAUGGCUUGAGUUUGGGAGAGGGAUGCGGAAUUCCAGGUGUAGCGGUGAAAUGCGUAGAUAUCUGGAGGAACACCGGUGGCGAAGGCGGCAUCCUGGACCAACACUGACACUGAGGAGCGAAAGCCAGGGGAGCAAACGGG